AUUGAACGCUGGCGGCAUGCCUUACACAUGCAAGUCGAACGGUAACUGGUCUUCGGAUGCUGACGAGUGGCGAACGGGUGAGUAAUACAUCGGAACGUGCCUAGUAGUGGGGGAUAACUACUCGAAAGAGUGGCUAAUACCGCAUGAGAUCUACGGAUGAAAGCAGGGGAUCGCAAGACCUUGUGCUACUAGAGCGGCCGAUGGCAGAUUAGGUAGUUGGUGGGAUAAAAGCUUACCAAGCCGACGAUCUGUAGCUGGUCUGAGAGGACGAUCAGCCACACUGGGACGGAGACAUGGCCCAGACUCCUGCGGGAUGCAGCAGUGGGGAAUUUUGGACAAUGGGCGCAAACCUGAUCCAGCAAUGCCGCGUGCAGGAUGAAGGCCUUCGGGUUGUAAACUGCUUUUGUACGGAACGAAAAGCCCUGGGUUAAUACCCUGGGGUCAUGACGGUACCGUAAGAAUAAGCACCGGCUAACUACGUGCCAGCCGCCGCAGUAA
rnacentral:rRNA from 1 species